AUAAGUAUUCAUCUAACUUAUUUGAUCUAGGUGUUCGAGUUGCCCAAUAUGAGCAAUUCCGGAAGGAAAGUGAGGACAAUCGGCUGCAAUGGAGCCGAUAUAAAAAGCGAAGCAAAGGCAAGGAUAAAUCUUUGAUAGAAGAACAGUCGGUUCAAGAAGAGCAGAGCCAAUCGAGUGAAAGUGAAGAAUCGGAUGAUGAAGCCGAGGUAUAUGCGGAUGGUAAAGAGCCACUUUCUUCAAGGAGAAAAUCCUUGAUAGAAGAACAGUUGGUUCAAGAAGAGUCAAGCCAAUAGAGUAAAAGCAAAGAAUCGAUUGAUGAAGCCGAGGUAUAUGCGGUUGGGAUGGUAAAGAG
rnacentral:lncRNA from 1 species